CCGAAACUCAAUAUUUAGAGGAUGCGCGUGGAAUAUUUCUUAUAAUAUGCACAUUUUUCUUUGAAUUGUCAGUCAACAAUGGACAAGAAGGACAAGAAGAACAAGAAGACUGAAGAGCCGAAGCUGCCCGCCAUCACUGAAGAGCCGAAGCUGCCCGCCAUCACUGAAGAAGUAGGAGGAGAAAAAGAAGAGGAAGAGGAGAAGGGCGAAGAUGAUAAAGAUUUGAUACAGGAGGAGGUGGAUGAAUUCUUCGCCAUCUUACGCCGGAUUCAAAUGGGC
rnacentral:lncRNA from 1 species